rnacentral:lncRNA from 1 species
CCAAAUUAAAAACCAACCCUACCAUUGUCCUCAGAACUCUUGAACGACAACGAAGACACAGACCACCUCUGUUCCUCCGAUAUUACUGCUCCUUCGCUUGAGCACUCCGAACAAGAGGCCUUCCACUUGGGCCUUCCAAACAGCUACUUGAUUGGAGAGUCUCAUAUUGAGCGGGGAAGAAGUUGGGCAAGCCCAAACUUAUUGUGGCUCCCAUGGUCGACAACUUCGAGUUACCCUUCCAUAUGCUUUGCCAAAAGUAUGGCGCCCAAGUAGCGUACACUUCCAUGCUUCAUUCAAGAAUCUUCCCUGAAACUAAAAAGUAUCGCUCCCAAGAAUUCACCACCUGCAAGGUAUGGUAUUGACAUUCUAAUGGAUUUUAGGUAUUAGACUCGAUUUUGUUAAGUUUGUUUAGAUUGAUGUGGUGGUAAAUGGCAGGAGGAUAGGCCUCUAUUUGUGCAAUUCUGCACGAAUGAUCUAGAUGUUUUGUUGGAGGCAGCACGGAGAGUGGAGCCUUACUGUGAUUAUGUUGACAUUAAUUUUGGAUAGUUGUUUAUCGAAUUCCCCCCCCCCCCCCCAUUCCCCAUUCAAUAGUGAAUUAUGUAUGAUAGUUUGUACAUUGCUUGAUACUGGAUUUUAAGCCAACUUGUCUUCUACAUGGGAGAAAAAUAGUUUGCUUUUUAAUUUUGCCUGUUGCUAAUUAUGGUUCUAGAAGCUAAAAUAUAUUUGUGCAUUUUAUCUUGAAGUUCGAGAUGCUUUUGGUUACACUUGAAUUCCUUAAGCUAAUUUGACUUUGCUGUGUUAUGCCUGUGGACAGUGAUUUUGACAAUCUUGUAAAAGUUAUCACCUAUAUAGAUCUGUAAAAGUUUCUAUGUGAGAUAGUACUUGAAUGGUGUUUUUCUCUUACAUAUUAUUUGGGAAAUGUUAAAACUACAAUGACUGAAGCUAGUUCGGUGCAAAUUGUUUUAUCCUAGACUCCUAGUUAUAUAACUAAUCUGGCUUUGUCUAGCUGUAAUUUGACCUAAAUUGGGAUAAAAGUUAUUUAGCUUUGUGAAAGUUUUUGGUUAGGUUCAAACCCUCACACUGCCAUUUUAGAGAACUCAUCUAUGUGUUUGAAGUGAGGGAUUGAAGUGAGGACUGAGUGUGAAGAGUGGAGGAGUGGCUUUUAUAGGGGUGGGGCGUGUGGUUGGGUUCAUGCAUUUGCAGAGGUGGCUGGUUAAGGCUGAUGGAUGAGGAUUUUUAAAUGGAGCCGACGGGGACUGCUGAUAUUGAAUAUUUGGGUUGACUUGGACAAAAUGUAUGAUUGGAUGGGCACGUGUAAUAAUAUUAGUAAGAAUUAGUGAUUUAAGCCUUCCAUUAGCAAGUGGACUGGACAAAUGGUUGGAUGAGAAUUAGUGAUUUAAGCCUUCAAUUUUCAGUUUGUAUGUUCCUUUUUAUAAGUAGAGAUACUUAUCGCUAAGUUUUUUCACAGAAAAAUAAAUCAAUAUUGACCAGUCACUUUAGUAUAUUAUUUUUGGCCUUUUCCUACUGCCUCAUUUCUCUCCUACAUAUUGGCCUGGGGGCUUGGCCAUCUUAGGGGUGAGUAUAUUUUUUAAUGGGCCUGGGCAUGCAAUCUACUUGUGUAGAUAAAUAUGGUUUUCCAUUGUUGCAUUUUCUCUAAUUUGUUGAUCCUAGUUGAUGAAGGGAAGAUUGCAUUUACUCUAACCAAUGUGAUUAUUGUUUAUCUAAGAUCUUUUUUCUUUUCUGUGUCUUAGAGCUUGAUGCAAAGAUUCUUUAUUUUGUUUUAUUUCAUUUUUUUCUUAGCACAGAGCUUGAUGCAAAGAGGACAUGAAGUUGAACCUAGAGAUUAGUGCAUGAAUGAGGGUUCUUGCAUAUUUUUAUAUUACAUGAAACAUCUCUCUUUCUCUCUCUCCCCUCCACUUGUUCGUUGUUGUCAGAGGUGCAAAACCAACAGGAAGGGAACAGGUCAUGAGAGUGAGAGUGAGAGUGAGAGUGAGAGUGAGAGUGAGAGAGAGAGUUCUCUUUCUCAAGCCCUCUUUUUGACUACCAAAGCUAAGCCCUUCUCAUGCUUGUAAAAUUAGGUGCUUUUCUUAUUCCUGUUCUUUCUUUCAAGCUCUGUUCUUUUUUGGGUUCUUGUAGUUUAUAGGUAUGUGGCCUUUAGGUACCAAAUUCUUUUUUUGGGUUAUUUGUACUCUUUGAUUGUAGAUCUGUCUUGGGAAUUACAUAAUUGUUGUGGGUUUUGUAUCAAGAUUUGAUUUUUGUACAAUUUUACCAUUACUUGAUCUCUGAUUACUCUUCAAAUAUGAAAUUAUUGGUUGCUAUUAUGAAACUGCUAUCUUUACUUUUUUGGCCAUUGUAACGUGCUGCUUCUGAUGCAGUGAAAUGAUGAGCUCUCCUAUGAGAUGUAUGGAUGAGAUUCUUGCACUUCUUCACUUAGCUUAUGAUUUCAAGGGUUAGAUAAGAGACAAAAAGAGAUGAAACUAUAUGAUUUGAAGCAUAAGAAGAAAUGGAUGUUAUUUUUUUUUUAUAUGAUACUUGAUUGUGAGUAUAAGAGUAACAUACAUUGGUGAUGUGCAAUUCAAUAGACAAGGAAUUGUUUCACAUUUGUACAUACAAAUGUCUUAU